rnacentral:rRNA from 1 species
CAGCUAUAAUUUACUUGAUCUUGACACUAUCCUACUUGGAUAACUGUGGUAAUUCUAGAGCUAAUACAUGCAUUAAAGCUCUGACCUCACGGGAAGAGUGCAUUUAUUAGAACAAAACCAAGCGGCUUCGGCUGUUUCUGGUUGACUCAUAGUAACUGAGCUGAUCGCAUGGUCUUGCACCGGCGACGUGUCUUUCAAGUAUCUGCCGUAUCAACUUUCGAUGGUAGUGUAUCUGACUACCAUGGUGAUCACGCGUAACGGAGAAUAAGGGUUCGGCUCCGGAGAGUUCGCCUGAGAAAUCGCGAACACAUCUAAGGAAGGCAGCAGGCGCGAAAAUUACCCACUCUCAGCACGAGGAGGUAGUGACGAAAAAUAACGAGACCGUUCUCUUAUGAGGCCGGUCAUCGGAAUGGGUACAAUUUAAACCCUUUAACGAGUAUCUAUGAGAGGGCAAGUCUGGUGCCAGCAGCCGCGGUAAUUCCAGCUCUCAAAGUGCAUAGAAUUAUUGCUGCGGUUAAAAAGCUCGUAGUUGGAUCUGUGCCAUAGGACGGGGUCUACCUUCGGGUACGUACUCCGCUCCUAGGCUUUUUGCUGGUUUUCCCGUCGUAGCCUUCACUGGUUGCGGCGGGUGGCUGGCGAGUUUACUUUGAGAAAAUCAAAGUGCUCAACACAGGCGUAUCGCUUGAAUGAUUGUGCAUGGAAUAAUAGAAAAGGAUUUCGGUCCUCUUUUAUUGGUUUUGUGGACUGAGAUAAUGGUUAACAGGGACAAACGGGGGCAUUCGUAUCGCUGCGUGAGAGGUGAAAUUCUUGGACCGUAGCGAGACGCCCUAC